UCCAGCACUAGAAAGAAAUUGACAUCAGUAGCGAGAGCAAGCGUCACGUCAUCCGGGAAACUUAACGUAUCAUUUAUCACCCCUAACGUGUUUACCUUGGGCAAUGAAAACUACUGGAUUCUGGGCACCGAUUACGAUUCUUACGCCGUCGGAUGGAGCUGUUUGCCAUUCGGACUCUUCCAUUUCGGUAA